rnacentral:rRNA from 1 species
GACGAACCGUGCGAACGUUAUUCGGAAUCACUGGGCUUAAAGCGCGUGUAGGCGGAUGAGCACGUCUGUCGCUGAAAUCCCCCGGCUCAACCGGGGAACGGGCGGGGAUACGGCUUGUCUGGAGGGGCGUAGGGGGACCUGGAACUUCCGGUGGAGCGGUGAAAUGCGUUGAGAUCGGAAGGAACGCCCGUGGCGAAAGCGAGGUCCUGGACGCCUACUGACGCUGAGACGCGAAAGCCAGGGGAGCGAACGGG